AUUGAACGCUGGCGGCAGGCCUAACACAUGCACGUCGAGCGGAGCGGCGGACGGGUGAGUAAUGCCUAGGAAUCUGCCUGGUAGUGGGGGAGAACGUCAGGAAACGGGCGCUAAUACCGCAUACUAUCAGAUGAGCCUAGGGCGGAUUAGCUAGAUGGUGGGGUAACGGACUACAAGGACGACGAUCCGUAACUGGUCUGAGAGGAUGAUCAGUCACACUGGAACUGAGACACGGUCCAGACUCCUACGGGAGGCAGCAGUGGGGAAUAUUGGGCAAUGGGCGAAAGCCUGACCGAGCAAUGCCGCGUGUGUGAAGAAGGUCUUCGGAUUGUAAAGCACUUUUAGUUGGGAGGCGUUAUCUACAGAGUAAGCACCGGCUAACUUCGUGCCAGCAGCCGCGGUAAUUC
rnacentral:rRNA from 1 species